rnacentral:rRNA from 1 species
UAUUCAAGUAUGCAUACUUGAAUACAUAGAGUAUGGAAGGCAGACCCAGGGAACUGAAACAUCUAAGUACCUGGAGGAAGAGAAAGCAAAUGCGAUUCCCUGAGUAGCGGCGAGCGAAACGGGCUGUAGCCCAAACCAAGAGGCUUGCCCCUCGGGGCUGUAGGAAACUCUAUACGGAGACACAAAAGAAAGGAGUAAACGAAGAAGUCUGGAAAGGACAGUCAAAAAAGCGAACAACCC